rnacentral:rRNA from 1 species
GUGCACCAGGCGAGAAUCGUUCACAAUGGGCGCAAGCCUGAUGGCGCGACGCCGCGUGUGGGAUGGAGGCCUUCGGGUUGUAAACCACUGUCACAGGGGAAGAAAGGCACGGAUGCUAACAUCGUCCGUGUUUGACGUUACCCUGAGAGGAAGCCACGGCUAACUCCGUGCCAGCAGCCGCGGUAAUACGGAGGUGGCAAGCGUUGUUCGGAAUUACUGGGCGUAAAGGGUGCGCAGGCGGUCUGUUGUGUUCGAUGUGAAAUCCCCCGGCUCACCCGGGGAACUGCAUCGAAAACUGACAGACUUGAGUGCAGGAGAGGAGAGC